rnacentral:rRNA from 1 species
UACGUAGGGGGCAAGCGUUGUCCGGAAUCAUUGGGCGUAAAGCGCGUGUAGGCGGCUCGGUAAGUCCGCUCUGAAAGUCCAGGGCUCAACCCUGGGAUGCGGGUGGAUACUGCCGGGCUCGAGUCCGGAAGAGGCGAGUGGAAUUCCCGGUGUAGCGGUGAAGUGCGCAGAUAUCGGGAGGAACACCAAUGGCGAAGGCAGCUCGCUGGGACGUGACUGACGCUGAGACGCGAAAGCGUGGGGAGCGAACAGG